GACAGAGGGUGCAGACGUUGUUCGGAAUUACUGGGCGUAAAGGGUGCGUAGGCGGUUCGUUAAGUCUGUCGUGAAAUCCCCGGGCUCAACCUGGGAAUGGCGAUGGAUACUGGCGAGCUAGAGUGUGUCAGAGGAUGGUGGAAUUCCCGGUGUAGCGGUGAAAUGCGUAGAGAUCGGGAGGAACAUCAGUGGCGAAGGCGGCCAUCUGGGACAACACUGACGCUGAAGCACGAAAGCGUGGGGAGCAAACAGG
rnacentral:rRNA from 1 species